GCAGAAGAGGACAGUGGAACUCCAUGUGUAGCGGUGAAAUGCGUAGAUAUAUGGAAGAACACCAGUGGCGAAGGCGGCUGUCUGGUCUGUAACUGACGCUGAGGCUCGAAAGUAUGGGUAGCAAACAGGAUUAGAUACCCUGGUAGUCCAUACCGUAAACGAUGAAUGCUAAGUGUUGGAGGGUUUCCGCCCUUCAGUGCUGCAGCUAACGCAUUAAGCAUUCCGCCUGGGGAGUACGGCCGCAAGGCUGAAACUCAAAGGAAUUGACGGGGGCCCGCACAAGCGGUGGAGCAUGUGGUUUAAUUCGAAGCUACGCGAAGAACCUUACCAGGUCUUGACAUACUAUGCAAAUCUAAGAGAUUAGACGUUCCCUUCGGGGACAUGGAUACAGGUGGUGCAUGGUUGUCGUCAGCUCGUGUCGUGAGAUGUUGGGUUAAGUCCCGCAACGAGCGCAACCCUUAUUAUCAGUUGCCAGCAUUAAGUUGGGCACUCUGGUGAGACUGCCGGUGACAAACCGGAGGAAGGUGGGGAUGACGUCAAAUCAUCAUGCCCCUUAUGACCUGGGCUACACACGUGCUACAAUGGAUGGUACAACGAGUUGCGAACUCGCGAGAGUAAGCUAAUCUCUUAAAGCCAUUCUCAGUUCGGAUUGUAGGCUGCAACUCGCCUACAUGAAGUCGGAAUCGCUAGUAAUCGCGGAUCAGCAUGCCGCGGUGAAUACGUUCCCGGGCCUUGUACACACCGCCCGUCACACCAUGAGAGUUUGUAACACCCAAAGUCGGUGGAGUAACCUUUUAGGAACCAGCCGCCUAAGGUGGGACAGAUGAUUAGGGUGAAGUCGUAACAAGGUAACCGUAA
rnacentral:rRNA from 1 species